UAGUUUUACAGUUUCUGUUUUUCGUAUACAAUCAAGUUGAAAUGUUGUUUGUUUGUAUCAUUGUAUGUAGGGAUGGAAGAAGUUUCAUCUAGUCCUAUUGAAGGAUCUAGUAAUCCAUCUUCUAAAGAACAAGAGCCAAUCCUUAGUCACUACAUUUUACAUAAUACUAAUGUAGCAUAAUUAUAAUUUCUAGAUGUUACCAAGGGUAGUCUUGAAUGUGCACCUAUCUAUGAUGAUGAAGAUGUAGAAGCUAUGGAAGAAUGAAAAAGGUUUGUGUUGGCCAUGGUUGAUUAAAGUUGAGGAUUGAAGACUUGGAUGAAGAUGUUUACUUUCCAUGGAAAGUAGAAGAAAAAUUAAUGUAAUUAAUUGAUUAGUUUUCAUGGGAUGAAGAUUGUUAUUGUUGUAUGGACCAUAGGUUGAUUUGGAAGAAAUUGAGAACUUUAUGUUUAAUGGACCUUUCUUUUUAAUCAUGUAUUUGUCUAUUUGAUUUUAUAUGCUUAGUUAAACUUAAAUUAUUGUCAUAUGAAGAUAUGAUUGUUACUUGUUAGUAAUGAUUACAUUUUUUGUAUUAUACAAUUUUUUUUAU